AUUAAGUCUAGCUUCGCUGUAAUAUAGGGUUGCUAUAAUGGGUAUCAGUUACAUUACUCUCAACUUUUUCUUUCUCUGAUUUUUCUUUUCCUUUUAAAAGUUGAGUGUUCAAAUUUAGAAGUCUUCAGGAUGUCAUAACUAAAAGAUAUUAAAACAAUUAUAGAUAAGAUUGUAUAAAAUAAACGCAACAAUAAUCAGUUCAAUUUUUGCUAAAAAUAAGAGGCUGGCAAUCUUUUGUACAAAAUGAAAAGAUAAACUGAACGUUACUGUUUCAUUUAUGGUUAUAGUACAACUAUAUAUAGUUGUAGUUUUAGAGCUAAUUUUCUUAAAUGUGCAUAUACGGACAAAGGAAUUUUACUUAAUCUUACUUUAUGUAGGAGAAAUGUAAUAGGAGAUUCAUUAUGGAUAUAGUACUCCUUCCUGUAUCAGCUACUAUAAUGUUAAUGUAAUGAGUCAACCAUGCAGAAGACUGACAUCACUGUUGCCCUUACCUCUUCCUGCAAGUGUUGGAAGCCGACUUAGAACGACAGCCAUGAUAAAAAAAAGGUUAUGAAUGUAUGUCAAGCUUAUUUUCCAGGUUCAGUCGGGAAGUAUUUAAGCAUUCAGUACUUGCUCCGUUGAAGCACUGUGCUGCUCUUUAAAAGCUUAAAAGAAUUAAACAUUGCAUGUUGACUUAUUUUAAUCUGAUUUCUUACAAAUGAUGAUUUUCUCAUCCAGAGAAGUUUUAAUUUGAGGAUAACUGAUAGCAGAUUCAAUCAGUUAGCAUACAGCAUCUUUUAUAUAUUAAAACUUUCCCUUUUUAGGAAACCAGGUGUUUUGGGAAUAAUAUUUAAAGUGGUUUCACUAAAUGAUGAUUAUCCUUAAUAUUUGGACCUUCUUCAUAGAGCUGUAAUAUGCAAUAUAGGAUUAUUUCUGAUGUGGUUGUGGGUCUAGGUUUUUUUGAUAAAGCUGUGAUGAUUUUGAUUCCUUUACAGUAGUCUUCAGUUACUAUUGAAAUUGCUUCAAUUCCUAAAUGGUAUUUUUCUUAAGUGGUAUUUUUUUAAGGAACAGUAUUUUUUUCCUAGUUAAUGUGAGCUCACAGUGGUAAAGUUUCAUGUGGCAUCCCUCUUGAAAACCUUUUUUUUUUAAUUCUAAGAUGAAAAAAAAAAUUCCGUAUUCUUCUUGAAGCUAAAUGACAAAUGACAAAUACUUAUCUUUUGGUUUACUAAGUAAUAAUGUUUAAAGUUUGAAAAUAAGCUAUAUUUUUCUACAAUAAAGAGGUGACUCUUUCUGCUCUCUUUUACUGACUCUAGUAUCUGUCCGGGUUAAUUGAAUUUAUUUCAGUCUGGUGUUUUUCCCCCAGCUGUUAUACUUGAUAGACCAAAUAAUUCUUUUUUUGGAUUCAAAGGAUUUAUUACAAAUUAUAAUUUACCUUAAGAUAAAAGUCAAUGUUAGGGAUAAAAGGGAAUGUGUUAACAUUUACUCUACUAACAAGCAGAUUUGCAGUUCCAGGUAGGUAUUUGCAUGUUUUCCAUGCACAAAGUAUAAAAGGUCCUAUCAGUGUGAGGAUUUUUCUAGGAAGAAGACUAUAGCAAGCAGUUUUACCUUUGCUUUCUUUUGGUUUCCUUACCAAGGAAAAAAUACAUAUUGUCUGGAACCAGUGGAUGGUAAUGACUAAAUUAACCUCUAAAUAGUUUUUCUUUGUUGAUAUGGUUGUUAAAGAGAAUUGAUAUUGGUCACUACUUGUAUUGUUUACCUCCUUCAGAAUAGCACUGGCGUCUUCUACAGUCUAGAUGAAAUUUCUACUUUGAAAGUUUAAAAACAUGGAAGCUUAUUUCUUUACCAUGCAAAAGGCUUAGAAAAUUCUAAACAUACUUUUGCUUCCAGUCUUGGACUUUUCAAGAGUAGGGUUCUUUUAGUGGUCUUUGUAUGAUUCAUACCUCCUAACAUGUAUAGAUGUUCAAGUUUUGUUAAAUGAAUGUGCAGAAAGGCUUUGGGGGGAGGGAGGAGGAUAAUAGAAUCAGGCCAGCAGCACUGGUAAUUUGGGAGAAUAUGGUAUUUACAGUGUCAUUCUUUAAAAUGGGCUUUUUUCCUUACCAUCUUUUUCAAAGAGGGUGUGUUGACUCUGGGAACAUCUUGCAUAAAAUUCCUUUUCCCCUUUCUGCUAAAACAAAAGAAUAAAGUGUAGUAUGACUAAUAUUUCUCCUUGAGAAAAAGGUUUUCAGGCCAUGUAUUUUAGAAUUAGUAACAGUGUUAAUGUGCUUUAAUUUGCUUACAUUUUAAGGUCUUAAUUAUGUGAUGAGAACAAUUGUGUUUUUUUCCAGUUGUUUUUUAUUACUCAAGUUUUUUCUGAACUUUUAUUUUUAAGUUUUAGAAAAAUCAGCAAGCAGUCUCCUUGUGGAAUUAAUGUUAUUGGUUGGUGGCAUCAUUGAUGACCCAGACUUAAUGUUAUAUUGAGCACCUAUAUCAUACUAUCUAAGAAAAUGUCAUCUUCCCAUGAAAGCGGCUCACCUCCAGAGAUAAUGAGUUUUUCUGAAGAGCUUUUUAGUAACUCAUUCUCUUUAUUCACAUGUAUCAAGUAUUUGUUUAGUUUAAUUUAUACAAUUUAAUAAGCAGACAGAGUAGAGAUUCUGUUACCUUUAAAGAGUUGUAGACCAUUAACAUGGAAAAUGGUCACUGGUAUCUUCUUUACAACGUGGACUUUUAAUUGCGCAAAAGAACUUGGGGUUCUUCUUUCUCUUCCUUGUGUUAAUUUGAAAUUGAUGUACAAGUACUCAGGCAAUCUGUCUUUCCUGCUAGAUAUGCUUAGACCAAAAGCUUUCUUGGUAGUAGGGAAUAGGGGAGGAUGGGAGGUCUCAGCACUAGUGAUCCCUUUCACCUUCUGCAUAAAGUCAUGAAGACAUGCAGCCAAAAAUAGGGUCAUUUUUCUUGGACAUGAUGAGGAAAUGAAAAAAUGAGGAAAUACCUACUAGAAAACCUAAUUCAUACUCAAAUAUCCCAUGUUAAAAGAGUUCCAGAUUUUAGUAAAAAGUUUUUUUGUUAUUUUGUUUUGUUUUACCAUUUAAUGGCUGUGUGGCCUGAGAAAAUGCACUCAGUCUGAGAAAAACCUGAGCUCAAAUAAUUGGGAAUAAUAGCCACCCCAUAGGGUUGUUAUGAAAAUUGAGAAUCAGAUAAAGCACUUUGACUACCUUGUGUUUCCUUCUGUUGUAUCAGCUUUUAGAUUCUGUUUAAAAGCAGUGAUAGAGUGUAAGCCUGCCUAUAAAUAGGACAGGAUCUCUUAACUCAGAGAAUCUAUGAAUAGAAAUUAAAAGACCCAAGAAGCCUUUAAAAUUGUGUUUGUGUGUGUGUGUGUGUGUGUGUGUGUUUCUGAGGCAGAGGGUCUAUACCAAGUCACCAAAUUAUCAAAGGUUUCAUUUGAAAACUUGAAAGCCACUGAUAACAGGGCAAAGAAUGGCUUCCUUUUCUUAUCAGAGGUAUGAGAAAGGAAGCCCUAAAUAAUGUUUAACAUUUGUAAUAGUUGGCAAAAGUAGUUAAGUAAUCGUAAUAGUGAUUCAUUUAACUUGACUGUGUUCCAUUGUUUUAUUCUACAUUUGUAUUUGUGCAGGACAAUUUAAGAUGUGGUUGCUGGGCGCUGAUUUGCCCACAGAACUAUCAUUAAACAGGGAACAAGCUGGGAAGCCAGGUAGCUUUUGGGUCCUCCCUAGUCUGAAUGAAUUAAAAUGUGCCUUGGGCUUUUAAAAACUGCUAUGUUGAGUUAGUUUUAAGCUGAGAAUCACUGUUCAGUUUGUUCUUUGGAAUAAGGACUUCUCAAAAGAAUUCCUGCAGUAUUAUGCCCAUCUUCACUACUUUAUAGAUAUUUACAUAUCUUUUCCAAAUGUGGCUUUUGGUAUAUUUCAAAGUUAAGUAAGAACAACUUCGGUAACAUUGUAGGUAACUACAAAUCCUUCUAGAAAGGAAUAAAUCUUUUCGGUAAUAAAAUUCAGUAGUCUUUUUAAAGGGUUUCAUGAUAAGCAGUAAGUAGUGUACAUAGUGAGGUAUUUUGUACGUUUCGGAGAUCUCUGAGGUAAAUGAAGAGGAAAUGAAGAUAAUGUAGGUAGGGGGAUGGAAAGGUAGGUGUAUUGUUGGGAAGGGGGAAAAUGACCCAACAAUUUCAUCAGGAGCAACAGGUUACCUAUCAAGUGGUCCUGCCUGUUCUCCCUUGGAGGUGUUUAGAGUUGAGGUGAGCUGUGACGAUAGAAAAAUGAACUAAGAGGAAAAUAUUAAAGGAUUCAAAAUUGAAAUUAGAGUAAAAAUCUUGAGGAAAGUCCAAGUAUAAGAACAUACACACAUGAAAUAAUGAUCCAACUGUUUUAAUCUACCCAGAAAAGAAAAAAUUCUUUUCAGCCCUUGCAGAGAGGCAUUUGAGUUACAAAAGGGAGGAAACAAGCCACCCUAGAGUUGAAGUUUAUAGUGAGUAAAUUUGCUUUUCAUUUUAUCUUUUAAGAUCAGCCCUUUCUUUAGUGAUGAAAUCCUGUUGACACCCUAGUAGGGGUACAGGUCAAGCUUCCUAGUUCAUUGUUUAAUUGAAAAUAAUCUUGCUUACUUUAAACAUUUUUUAAAAAUGGAAACACAGAUGUGUAUUCAUUUGUCAGAUAUUUUUAUGUGGGGCCCAAGACCUUUUCAUUGACUAUAGGUCUAGAAAUAAUAUACCAUCUUUCUUGCGUAGACCACACCUACAAAUGUAUCCUCUGCAAAAUGCAGUUUGAGUUUCUAUGGUGGAGUGAGAAUGUAAUUGAUAAGCACUCAGUUCAGAAUCCUAGUUAUGUACCAUUCUUUCUACAAUAAGUUCAUCUACCACAAGUGAUUUCUUUUUCCUUUUUCCUUUUUUUUUUUUGUGGCUCCUCUUUAAAAACUAGUCAUUCUAAAGCAUUCCACUUAGUUUUCAGAUGAACACAUCUUUUCACACUUGUAUUUUAUUAAGCAACAUAAAUUUUAAGUAAUUACAGCCAGUAUAAUGGCAUAGUUUUAGAAACAGAAAUAAGUAAACGUGUAACUCUGCUGAUGGAAACAAGGGCAUUCCAGAGGGCAGCCAAAAUUACCAUAAGCAUUUAGCCUCAUCAAGAGCAUCAUUAUAGUAGGAAUAAAGAACCUACUAUAAGCCAACUAUCAGUUAAGUGGGAUUUGGUUAAUUCAGCAAAUUAAGUGAAGGAUCUGUGAGAUACUACAUACUAGAUCAUUCUUUCAGAACAAGCUUUUUGUGUCAGGGAAUCUUGCUGCAGUUAAGUCUUUUUGAAAAAUUUUGCAAAGGUGAGAAUGCAAGGAGAGAUGGGUGCUUGUUAAAUCAUUAAGGGAAAAUUGUCAUUUAUCUCAUAUCUAUUAAAUGCUAAGGAAGGGAGACUUUAAAGGCCAUGGAAAACAUUUCAAGUAAAGGAAAUAACAAGUUUUGCCCCUUAGAAAGUUGGUUGGUAGACCAUAAAAAUACUUCUGUUUUAUAAAGAAAAUCAGGUUUUUUGAUUUGACAAUUAUUUUGAGCAUUUGGUCUAUGAAAUCUGUAUUCUUUGGAUUAAUUUUCUUAAUGUCAAUAGAUUCUCAAGUAGGAACUUAACUACAUCAUAAUUCGGUAGUCAUUGUUUAUACAUUAAUUUUAUUUUUUUUUUUCCGACUUGUUUGUCUCCUGGGGCAGCUUUAACCUGUAAGAGAUUUAUGGUUUUUUUCCCAUGAACAAAAUACUUAUUUUCACAUCUGUUAAGUUGUUCUAGUAUAUAAAGAAAGCCCAGUAUAGGAAAUAGUGCUGCCUCUAUAGUACAUAUUACAAAUAUGUAUACUUAUAUUAUAAAUAUUAUGUAUAAAAACAUUAUAAUUAGUAUUUAUAGUGUUAACUUAAAUGUCCUUGGUACAUGUAUUAUUAAAAAUGUGUUUGUGUAUGAGUAAGAAAUUUUUAAAAACCAAAAUUAUGCUUGUGUCAGCUAACAUUAAAAAGUUACAUGGUAAAGAUUAUACGCUUCUCCAUCAUCAGACUCAUUCAGACUCAUAUUCUAGGAAGAAACUCUUGGCACUAUACCAACAGAUUGGAAAAUGAAGAUACUUUUUCUGUUUUAGGCUAAAGCAAAAUAUUUAAGGUACAUAUAAUUUUAUGAUUCUCAGCUUCAACUAAAUUUUUCCAGUAAUUCACUUUUUUUCAUGUAUUGGUUCUGAUCUUGUCAGGAGAGAAAUCUACUUGUAGAUAACUACAAAUGUCCAGCCAUUGGAAAUGAGACCUGAAUCAAUACUGAGCAUUUUCUCCAUUUUUCCAAGAGGCUUAUUUGUCAUUCCAGUUUAUAAAGGAAUGGUUCCUAAAGAGAGAGUGUUAACUGUUUUUCCUGUGUGUGUGUGCUUUUUGAUUCCUAAAUAAUAAUAAUAAAAAUGUCUCGUUCAUUGGGACUCUCAUAAACAUUUGAAUUGUUUUCCAAAAUUCCUGUGAUCCUUAGUGUGAUUUCAUUCUGGUUCCCAUUGCUCUUUAUUAUGAUAGUUUUACUUUAUUGAAAAUAAACACUGCUUAAGUUUUUAGGGGAUUUAGAACUGCUGUCAUUUUCAGUAUGUCCAAAACGAGAGUUGAUCUUCCUUUUGAAACUACUUAUCCUAACUACCUCAUUUUAGCACAUUUUUUAGACUUAAUCUAAAUGACAUUUUAGGGUCAAUUUUUACUUCAUUUCAGAUUGCAAGCUGUUACUACCAUGUUGCCUAGGUCAGUGGUUCCCCAACCUUUUACAUUCGUGCCAACUUUCAUUUGUAUCAUUUAUCCCCUGGCUAGUAUCCACAAUCAUUAGGAUUUCCUGUUGUACUAGCAGUAGUACUCUUCCACUCACAGAAGCACAUUGGCAAGUAAGUGAUAGGGUAAUGAUAGACUUAAUCUAAUUUGAAUGGACAAGAGUUCAAUUAUAAACCUUUUUACUGCUACUGGUGGUUUUUCACUCCAGAUUUCGCUACCUUUAUUGUAAAUUCUAUAUGGCAUGGAGUUUUCAUCCUAAUCUGAAACACUGCUUUCAUUUUGUCCAUCUACUUGAUUGUUGCUGAAAUCCUCUUCACAGAGCCUUUGGCUUAAGUUUGGUCGUCUCAUUGUCCCUGGUACCAGCCAUUGCUAAUUCCCAUCUUCAUGUCUUGAUGAUUUCUGCUUCAUUACUCUUGAUUUAGAAUUUAUUUUAAUCUUGAUAUCUAAGAUAUUUUCAACUUUAGCAGUUUGGCUACAUCCUCUCAUUCACCUUGAAAACAGAAGCACUGAUGAUAUACUGAAGGAAUGUGAUAUGUUUAAUAUUUUUAGGUUGCACAAUUUGGCCAUGCCUCCGCAGUUUCCAUUGCACUACCUUCAGCUCAAACAACAGGUCAUUCUCUACUUGUUCUCUAGUUAGUAAUUCUUUGUAGUAAUGGAAAAUGAGUAUCUUUAUGAAAAUUGCUGUGGAAUAGCAGUUGUCAUUGUCAUUGAUUUAGUUUCGCAUUUUAUGGUAAAGUGUAUGUGGCAUUAGUAAUUAGGCAGAUUUUGACCAAUUUUUUUUUUUUUUUUUCCUGUUGGCAUUCUUUUCCUACAAGGUGAAUCUUUGGGCAACAAAGCCACCUGGAUGAGUGGAUUGUUACCAAUAAGAUCCUGUUGUAUGGGACAUGCACAUUUGUUGAUCCACGUUGGAAUAGAUCACUAAAAUGUUUCAGCAUCCAUCCUUCUGGGUGUGAGAUAGUACCAUUGUGGUUGUGAUUUGCAUUUCCCUGAUGACCAAUGAUGAAAGUGUUCCUGUGUCCUCAAUCUUUAAGAAUAUAAAAAGUCUUGCCCAAAAAGUUUUAAACCGUAAGUAUAAAGCAUUCACUGAUGCUAAACUAUUUAAGCAUACCUGUUUGAAAGAUCAUAAGUACCACACUUGAGGGAGGGAUAGGUGGUAGUUUUUAAACAUGAGGAAAUCAGCUCACUUAAGAUGAAGUCCAGAGUUAAGGUGGUUUCUGAAUUGGUUGGUUCAAGUUGGUUUGUUUUUUUAUUUUUUGUGGUAACAAAUACACAACACAAAAAUUUCCAUUUUAAGCACUGUCGUGUGUUAGGGUGUCAUUUUAAAGUUACUGUAAAACAAACAUUUUCUUAGGAUAAUUUUCUUCAUUAGCUUAGACAUUACUGAAAGAAAAGCAAAUAUGUUGGUUAGGGAAUGUGGUUCAGAAUUAGACUGUUGAAUCUUCCAAAAUGAUAAUUAAUGCUGCUUCUUUGCUUACUCUGUGCCAGACUCUGUUUUGAAUGCUUUCUGUAUAUUAAUUCAUUUAAUCUUUCCAGUAACUCUGUGAUUCAACUACUAAUAUCCCCCUUUACAGAAAAAGAAACCUAAGGCCCAGGGAGAUUUUGGAACUCUGUCCCAGCAGUGAACUGGGAUUUUUGAACUAGGGCAGUAGGAAGUCUUUCUCCAUAAUUAGUGCUCAUAACCAGUGUGCAGUUAAAAAAAAAAACAAAAAAAUGCUAAAGGAAAAAGUUUCUCCUUUAUCUUUUGCCCUUUGAUGGCCUUAAUCCUGUGUUUUUAAAUUAAAGCUUUUUGCAUGUUAUUUUACCACACCUAGUUAGACAAAUUUUAGAUUACUGAAUCCAAAGUAAAGUACUAAAAUUGAAAGUUCAGGAGCACUAAAGCAGAUUCUUGAAUGUCAACAUCCAUAUAUCUUAUACUGAGCAGCAACCAGUGAGAAGGAAAGGGACUAAACUAAUAUUUGAGUGCUGACUGUUGGAUGAUGUGAUGGGCACGUCAGUUUAUACCAAUUUAAACCUCAUAGCAGCCUUUUUUAAAAUUCAAGUUUAAUAAGCAUUUAUUGGAAUGAGUGAGGUGAGAUUUUUGUUUAAAAUUAGUUUUGAGGAUUACCUGAAGAUUUGUUUAUUUCUUAAUUCAACAAAUACUCAUUUCCCACACUGUGCCAGACAUGUUUCUCAAUGUUGGGGUACACCUUGUGAGCUUACCUUGAGGUUGGGGAGACUCACAGUAAACAAAUAAGCAAAUACACAUGUAUUAAUCAUGUCAGUUAAUGGUAUAUUCAUAGCAGCCUUUUGAAGUAGAUUUUUUUUUAAUCUGUAUUUUAUAGAUGAAAACUCAAGGCUUUGAGAGAUUAAUUUCCCUGAAGUCUUGAAAUUAAUGAUUGAGGGUGGGAUUCAAAGUCUGCUUGAUUUUAGAGUUUAUGCUAUUUCUAGGAGACUGUGCUGUUGCUCCAAGAAGUGUUUGGAUGCCCAGAGAUUAAGGUUUUGCCCCCAGCUCUGGCAACAGUUUUAGUGGUCUCUGUUAGCUAAAUAAAGGAUAUAUACUUACUCCUCAGUUUCAGGCUAUAAUCAUACUAAAGGACCAGUGAGCAGUCUAUCACUAGAAUCGAGAUGAAUUUUCAGUUUAUAAGCCUUUUCUUUGAAAUAUUUGACCACAAUUAAGAUUGAAUGUUUGUUAAAUAUGGGUUAAGCCUAAAUCAUGUGUUUAGCUCUGGGUUAUGAGCCUAGUUCUGGGUUAUGAAUCAUUUACUAAGAAGAGGUUGGAUAUGUGCUUCUCCAGCAUUGACGAAACAGAUGAUAAUUUAUUCUGGUGAUAUCUUGCUGCUGAGUGAAUGAUUUCUCAACCCACUUAACGUUACGGGGACUGUGUAUAAAGUCACAGUAUGCAUUAACUCUUAUUCACCAAAUUAAUCCUAGAUAUUUUUGAAAAUGUUAGCCAUGAUAAUCUUUAAAAGAUGGUGGCUAUUAUAAAGAACAAAGUUAACUGGAAAAAAAAGAUAUUUAUCUUGAAAUAAGUUGUUUCAGGAAAUGUGAAUUUCUAAGCCAUAUUUCAACAAGACUCUUACGGAUUAGCAUUGUACAAAGUAGCCAAGUGAUCCUCUGGUUUCUUGUUAAGUCUCUAUUAGUGGAACCCACUGUCUGACAAGGUAGUCUAUUCCAGUUGUGGACCACUGUUGAAUGAAAUCUGCCUUUUGCUAAAUUUUGCCUAUUGGUACUUGGUUUUGCCUUCUGGACCAUUCAUUCAUGUCAUACCCAAAUUCCUGAUUUUCUUCUUUCCUCAUGACAGUUUGUUUCCUCACUGUUCUUGCUUACUCUUCUGUAUGUUCUCCAGUUUAUCGAUGUCUGUCUGGAUACAUUUUAAAAUAAAUAAUAUAUUCUAGAUUUGGUCUCAUCAGCAUAGUGUGGAACUGAAUCAUUUUUCUUUUCUUUGAUUCUUAAUUGUAUCAAUGUAUUUUGGAGUCACAUCCAUCUUAGUAGAUAUAUCACGCUUUUGAGGCAGAGAAAAUGUAGCAUAAUGUUAGGAUAUAACUUUUUGCAGAUGAGAUUGCCUAGUUGGAGUUGUACCUUCACAAGCUUAGCUGUGGUUUUAAGCAAAUUACAUUACAUUGCUCAUUCUUAUUGUCCUUUAGAAAAUGAGGAUAAUUGUAAUUUCUACCUAAUGGUAGAUAGGUCUACCUCAUGAUAGAUAAGGUUAUGGAAGGAUGAAAUUAAAUAAUCCACAUAAAGUGCUUGAUCUAAGUGUCUGAAAAUGUUGACUAUCAAAAUUGCAAGCAUCCUUGCCUCAGUUAUCUAUUGCUCUAUAACAAACCAUCCAAAACUUAGUGGCUUUAAAACAACGAUUUAUUUUUGUGAUUCCCUUGGCAUGGCUGACUAUUUUGGACAGUUCUUCACAUGGUCGUUGACUGGGGUCACUGAUUGCUGCAUUAAUCUUGGGAAUUCUGCUGGGGCUGAGAUAUUCAAGAUGGCUUCACUUACGUGUUCAACAGUGGAAGUCUGGGUUGUCCUUUCUCUCCAGUAGGUUGUUUGACUUCUUCCGUGAUGGUUGAGGGCUGUAAGACAGCAAAAGGGGCAGCUGCUGGGACAGCAGUCACUUCCAUCACAUUCUGUUCAAAGUCACAAGGCUAGCCCAGACUCAAGGAGAAAGAAAAUAAAUUCCACCUCUUGAUGGAAUGGCAUACAUGAACAAUUUUCUUCUUUCAAAUGGUUUGCUUUUUGAACCAAAGUGUGUGUUAAUCUUUAAUGCAAUUUUCAUUUAAAAAAAUCCUAAGUGUUUCUUAGCCUUAUGUCAUCUGAAAAUUUGAUAGACAAAAGUAUGCCAUUUAUGCCUUUCUCAGCUUCUUAAAGUCAGCAAUCAUCAGAAAGGUUUGCCACUGUUGACAUUUAGCACUCUGAGGUUAUCCUUAGGCCAACAAGGGGCCUGAUUGCUGUUAACCAGCCCUGCUAUUCUGGUUAAUAGCUUUAAAGUUGACUCAUCUAUGAAUAUGGAGAUUUAUCUUGUUCGCUGUUACAUUCUCAGUACCUAGCAUGGUGGAACUAAAGUAUUUGGAGGAUUAAGUGAAUGUAAAAAUUGUGUUGAAGCAGUAAAAUACAAAAUAGGGAUUCAUAGGUGGAGAAUUGCUUUCAUGUCUACUCUUAUAUAGUUGUCAACUCUUUAUUUGAAAUUAUUCGUGGUGUGAUCUUAAAUAUAUGUAAAUCAACCAGAGAGCAGUUUUCAAUUGACUUGAAUUGUUUACGGAGCCUUCUGUAAAUGUAUAUAUUUUCUUUUGCUAUUUAAUUUGAAGUUAUUUGUGAAUUCUGGUUAAUCAUAUUAGACCCUUUUUCAGCUAGACUUGAAAGCUCAUUCAGUCUUAACCUUUUGGCUAGCCAAUCAGAAACCGAAUCUAUCCCUUCUCACCAAAAUUGCAGAGAGAUUUCUUACAGAUGUCUCACUGAUAAGGUCGUGUUUAUAGUAUUUUAUGUAACAGGGAACCAGAGAGGUUUUUACUUAUCUCUACAACUAGAUUAUGAAGUACUAACAUUUUAUUGUGCUUCCACCUUCUAGCAUUGAUGUCUCCUAUGUAGAGAUAAUAAUAGUUAAUGCUUUACUGUUACUUAAGUGCUUUACCUGUAUUUUGUGUCCACAACCCUUGGAAGUAGGUGUUAUAAUCCUUUACAGAUAAGAAUCAGAGAUUAAGUAGGUCACACAGUGUGGGGAGCUACAGUUUAAACCCAGACUGACCCCAAAGCUACUAUCCUCUCUCCCAUGGUUGAAUGAAUAAUGAAUUUUGUAUAUUGUGUAAAGACAAAACUUGAAGCCUGGUUAUUUGUUUCUUAAGGCCAUUGUUCAUAAGUGGAAAAAAAAAAAAAAAGCCUGAUUACUAUUUUAAAUGGAAAAAU